rnacentral:piRNA from 1 species
UGGUGAAGCUGCAAGACUGAAGCCUUGUGU